ensembl:lncRNA
CCCACAACCGAUAAGGAUGGAAGACUGAAGUGACACACAGAGGUGUCUGGAAAUCUUUGCUUGACUCUGAACUUGCGUAUUGGCUGCAGACUGUUCUCUUGCUUUUCUCAUGGGCUCGAACCAACCCAUGAGCUCGGAAGCCCACAGCGAUCUUCCCCAGCUCCUGAAGAUGACAACGCGGAGCACAGAGGCUUCAGAACUGCUUUGGGAAGAAAAUGGGAUAGAUCGCUUGGCCAACCUCCCUCACCAGAACACCCCACAGGGUACAGCACUGCAACGAAAAGCAUCGCCCAGCGGUCUGAAGCAUGGAAAAAGCCCUUACCCCUGGCAACCGAAGAAGAAAACUUGGCGAAAAACACGUGCAUGCCCUCUGACUUGGAGGCUACAGAUACGAUGUGCUAACAGCGUAAGGGUGUUCUUGAGAACACAGGGGGCUUUUGCCCUCCUCUUGCGAAUGACCUCCAGCUCUGCCACGCGACACAUUCCUAAGCGCUACAUCCUCCCCGUCUUCACUUUUGCACUGAAUACAAAUGCGCACUUUCUUCAUGCGUGAGAAAGAGGGUUGUGUCAUUGCUGCUACCGCCAGACCAUCCACCAUCCACUCAAACCACAUUUUCUUUAUUAAAGCCAUUUUUCUCUGAAGUUUCCCCAUCGUACGCAGGCUGUGUUGAGACCUCCUCACCUCCCGAGAUAUUUAUAGGCUUUAGUGGAGAACUGUAUGGCCCUUUGAGGGCCAGGAUUUAAGUUUUAGCCUGCAUCGAGCAUAAAUACACUGGGGGUGAACGAAUAUUUCUUACUUAAAAGCCUUAUUUAAUUUGAUCCAAAGCACCUUAUUUUUCAGAGUUAAACAUUACUGUUGGAAGUAAUUUUAAAUCUGCACAACAGUGAAUCCUAAGAAUGGUUCUGAAUUGGCUUUACAAAUGCAUAUGGUUCUUUCUGAGAUUGAAAGAGGAGGAAGAAGAAAGGGAGGAAGAAAGGGAGACCGCAGGAACUGAAAUAAAAACAGACAAUCCCUUCGUCACCUAAAUAAAACCCGCUAAGCGUUGAAAUGGGGUCGAAAGAUAUUUGUUAAGACUGUGAAGUAUAAAGGCAGCAAUUAUUUCUUUGGAAAGUGUCUCUUUAAGGACUUAAGUGAAAGCCUGGAGGAGGCUGCCUCCAGCCAGCAGGAAUUGCCCCUGGCUUUACCAGGAGUGAGAGGAAGAAAGGAAGCAAUUACCCAGUGAACAAUGGUGCAUUAAGGAGCUGCAUUGUGUUUUCAAAACCAGGAUCUCUCCAGCUGGAGAAAUGCUCGUUUGAGGUGACUUCAGAAGUAAUGCCAAAGUGAAGUAUAGCUGAAGAAAGCAUCUCUUAAGAAAAUGAGGAUUCUGAAGCUUAUGACAAUUUUAUUCUGAACAAGCUGACAUCUAACAGACUGACAGCAGCAAAGAUAAAUACAGUAGCAUGGGAGCUGAGAUGAAUGCAGGCACGUUCUGCUGAGAGGCUCUCUGACAUGCUGAGCGACAUCAGCACAACAGCCCCAAGAUCUGCACUGUUUGAUUCAAAGGCACUGACUGAACCCGAGGCAAGUUCCAAGGCACAGGCUUCUUGCUCCUUGAUGACUGUUCCAUUGGAUUCAAGUCCUCCCUGAAGACAUUUCAAAUCUGAUAAUAUGGGAUCAGGAAGUCAUUAAGGAGUUGGUUUGUUCCUCCUUUUGUACUUCUGCACUGUUUAUGUCUGUUGACGCU